UAGGGAAUCUUCCACAAUGGACGCAAGUCUGAUGGAGCAACGCCGCGUGAGUGAAGAAGGUCUUCGGAUCGUAAAGCUCUGUUGUUGGUGAAGAAGGAUAGAGGCAGUAACUGGUCUUUAUUUGACGGUAAUCAACCAGAAAGUCACGGCUAACUACGUGCCAGCAGCCGCGGUAAUACGUAGGUGGCAAGCGUUGUCCGGAUUUAUUGGGCGUAAAGCGAGCGCAGGCGGAAUGAUAAGUCUGAUGUGAAAGCCCACGGCUCAACCGUGGAACUGCAUCGGAAACUGUCAUUCUUGAGUGCAGAAGAGGAGAGUGGAACUCCAUGUAAGAGGCGGA
rnacentral:rRNA from 1 species